AUUAAACGCUGGCGGCAUGCCUUACACAUGCAAGUCGAACGGCAGCACGGGGGCAACCCUGGUGGCGAGUGGCGGACGGGUGAGUAAAGCAUCGGAACGUAUCCUGGAGUGGGGGAUAACGUAGCGAAAGUUACGCUAAUACCGCAUAUUCUGUGAGCAGGAAAGCAGGGGAUCGCAAGACCUUGCGCUCUGGGAGCGGCCGAUGUCGGAUUAGCUAGUUGGUGGGGUAAAGGCCUACCAAGGCGACGAUCCGUAGCGGGUCUGAGAGGAUGAUCCGCCACACUGGGACUGAGACACGGCCCAGACUCCUACGGGAGGCAGCAGUGGGGAAUUUUGGACAAUGGGCGGAAGCCUGAUCCAGCCAUGCCGCGUGAGUGAAG
rnacentral:rRNA from 1 species